rnacentral:rRNA from 1 species
AACGAACGCUGGCGGCAGGCCUAACACAUGCAAGUCGAGCGGACCUUUCGGGGUCAGCGGCGGACGGGUGAGUAACGCGUGGGAAUAUGCCCUUCUCUACGGAAUAGUCCUGGGAAACUGGGGGUAAUACCGUAUACGCCCUUUGGGGGAAAGAUUUAUCGGGGAAGGAUUAGCCCGCGUUGGAUUAGGUAGUUGGUGGGGUAAUGGCCUACCAAGCCGACGAUCCAUAGCUGGUUUGAGAGGAUGAUCAGCCACACUGGGACUGAGACACGGCCCAGACUCCUACGGGAGGCAGCAGUGGGGAAUCUUAGACAAUGGGGGCAACCCUGAUCUAGCCAUGCCGCGUGAGUGAUGAAGGCCUUAGGGUUGUAAAGCUCUUUCAGCUGGGAAGAUAAUGACGGUACCAGCAGAAGAAGCCCCGGCUAACUCCG